CACGUAUUUAGCCGGUGCUUCUUCUUCAGGUACCGUCAUUCUUCUUCCCUGCUGACAGAGCUUUACAUACCGAAAUACUUCCUCGCUCACGCGGCGUCGCUGCAUCAGGGUUUCCCCCAUUGUGCAAUAUUCCCCACUGCUGCCUCCCGCAGGAGUCUGGGCCGUGUCUCAGUCCCAGUGUGGCCGUUCACCCUCUCAGGCCGGCUACUGAUCGCCGUCUUGGUAGGCCGUUACCCUGCCAACCAACUAAUCAGACGCGGGGCCAUCCUGUACCACCGUGGUUUUUCACACCGUGCCAUGCGGCACUGUGCGCUUAUGCGGUAUUAGCAGCCGUUUCCGGCUGUUAUCCCCCGGUACAGGGCAGGUUCCCCACGCGUUACUCACCCGUCCGCCACUCAGUCACUCUCCCCUCCUCCGAAAAUUCGGGAAAAGCGCUUCGUUCGACUUGCAUGUGUUAGGCACGCCGCCAGCGUUCAUCCUGAGCCAGGAUCAAACUCU
rnacentral:rRNA from 1 species